rnacentral:rRNA from 1 species
UACGGAGGGUGCAAGCGUUGUUCGGAUUGAUUGGGCGUAAAGCGCACGUAGGCGGGCUCAUAAGUCGAAUGUGAAAGCCCUGGGCUUAACCUGGGAAUUGCAUCCGAAACUAUGGGUCUUGAAUGCUUAAGAGGUUGGUGGAAUGUCUGGUGUAGGAGUGAAAUCCGUAGAUAUCAGAUGGAAUAUCGGAGGCGAAGGCGG